ACACAAAGCAAAGAGCUACACUUGUGGCUGUACAUAAGGAUCAUGGUGGAGAAAAGUGAAAGUCCCAUCUUUUCUUUCUUUCAAGUUUUCUGGGUCAUGAGUCACGCUGAGGACUACAGAGAUAGAACAAAUAAUCUUCUGGAGGAGAUUGUUUCUCAGUACUGAAAGAGAGGGAGUUUACAUGAUUGUCUCUAUCUUCAUUCAGUGUGCAGCUCUCAGCUUCUGUUGGUGAGGUGUCUCUCCUACAAAGGCCUUCUUUGCUCUUUACAGCCCACCAGCAUCAAUGGUCAGGAUCACUGAUGGAUUAGGAACUGAUUCUCCCACUGUGUCUGCUCAGAGAACUCUGAAGUAAGUCAAAUGCACUCUAAGAUAUGAAAUUUGAGAUCCCAGCAAGCUGCAACACCAAUAAUACCUCAGGAUGCCAAUCACUGAGACAGCCCUACAGCUCUGCCAAGGCAUUUCCUUUCAUCUGCAGCUCCAGUAAAGGAUUUAAACCACCUGCUUUAAAUCCACUUACUUAACUUCGUAAUUUAGAGGCCCAUGACACUUAGCUGCUGUCACAAAUUAGUUUCAAGCUUUUGCUGAAGUGCUCCUGAAACAACUGCAAGGGUAGGAUUAAAGGUAGCAUUUCCACUAGCAACAGCUGGUGUGGUGCCUACUCACUGUCUGUGCCCCACACAGUCAAAGGGGCAGAGGAGGGAGAAACAGGGAGGGUAGCUAAACCUAGGCAUCCUAGAUCACCAAAUAUAAUUGCUGUCUGUAAGACAAGUGUGACAGAUUUCUACUUUUAUGUCCAUCUUGACAAUCAAUAGUAAGGUUAUGCCUUUUGUCAGAGGAUGUGUUUUUUCAUGGGAGUAGAUUUUUUCAUAUCCUGUGGCAGCAUUUGCACUAUUCAGUUGAUCAACAAGUCUAACAUUUCCAUAUGUGCAGAAAAAAAGUUGCCAUGACUUACUUGCUCAGAUAGAGCUUUAGAAAGGCAGUCUCAAGUUAGUAUCAUCUGCUUAUUGAGUGAAACACACUACUGUGCGACUCAGUAAAAAUUAAGGUUUGUAAGCCAGAAGAGUAACUGGAGAGCAGACACUGUACUUGUACUUAACACAACAGCAAUCAUCAUCCCAUAAGCAUUAGCUGACUUGCCUUCAAUGUUCAGAACUCUCUUCUUCUGACAUUAUCUACAUCUACAAAAGAAUACAUACAUUACAUCUCCUUGACUCAAAACAAUAAUGAACUAGCAGCAGAAAUGCUCCUUACUGUAAUUCAGUACUCCUCUCCUUGCUAUCCAAAACCUGAUUUUAAAUUAAGACCAAAGUCAGAUGACAUAGUCCUUUCAGAUUACCAUUUUAAUGUAAAAAUGUGUCAUUUUUCUGUUCCUGUUUUUAUAAAUGGUACUUUUUGGAGGGUACCCAUUGCAAAAGAUUGGAAAAUAUGUGAAUUGUUAACAUUCAUAUUAAAAUAAAACUGCUAGGACAAUAAUAAGUGGUGAAAAUGCUGUAUUUGUUUUGUCCAUUUAAGACUCAAGAAUGUUAUAGAGGGCACAAUGGUAUAGAAAUGUUUACAGAGUAAAAAAGGUUUCAGCAACAAAUGAGGGAAAAUAUAACAACUCAGGUUGCAGCUGAGGUCUCAUUCAAUAUCCUACUCGAAAGCACAUCAGAAAAACAAUGACUGAGUUGAUUUCAAUGGGAAGAGGAUGAGGUAUAGCCAGACAAAGGUCCAGUUCACACCAGUAAACAAAGAGUGUAAGGUGAAUGAAAAAUCUGACAAGUUGAUAACAAAUCUUGCUGAUAUGCACUGUAAUUAAAUGCAUUUGGAGAUCUGAUUAAUCAUACAUACUUGUUGGAGCUGCAUUACCGUGGCAUCCACAUUGUUGAUCACCAAAAUAUAUCACAAUUCCAUGAUACUGUCACAGAGUUAUCUAGAUAAAUCUGUGCCCAUGACAGGGG